UACGUAGGGUGCGAGCGUUGUCCGGAAUUAUUGGGCGUAAAGAGCUCGUAGGCGGUGUGUCACGUCGGCCGUGAAAACCUGCAGCUUAACUGUGGGCGUGCGGUCGAUACGGGCAUCACUGGAGUUCGGCAGGGGAGACUGGAAUUCCUGGUGUAGCGGUGAGAUGCGCAGAUAUCAGGAGGAACACCGGUGGCGAAGGCGGGUCUCUGGGCCGAUACUGACGCUGAGGAGCGAAAGCGUGGGGAGCAAACAGG
rnacentral:rRNA from 1 species